UGGGGAAUUUUGGACAAUGGGCGCAAGCCUGAUCCAGCCAUGCCGCGUGCAGGAUGAAGGCCUUCGGGUUGUAAACUGCUUUUGUACGGCACGAAAAGGUGCCUUCUAAUAAAGGGCGCCCAUGACGGUACCGUAAGAAUAAGCACCGGCUAACUACGUGCCAGCAGCCGCGGUAAUACGUAGGGUGCGCGCGUUAAUCGGAAUUAAUGGGCGUAAAGCGUGCGCAGGCGGUUUUGUAAGACAGAGGUGAAAUCCCCGGGCUCAACCUGGUAACGGCCUUUGGGACGGCAAGGCUGGAGUGCGGCAGAGGGUGAUGGAAUUCCGCGUGUAGCAGUGAAAUGCGUAGAUAGUCGGAGGAACACCGAUGGCGAAGGCAAUCCCCUGGGCCUGCACUGACGCUCAUGCACGAAAGCGUGGGGAGCAAACA
rnacentral:rRNA from 1 species